CAGUAGCCGCGGGAAUACGUAGGUGGCAAGCGUUGUCCGGAAUUAUUGGGCGUAAAGGGCUCGCAGGCGGUUUCUUAAGUCUGAUGUGAAAGCCCCCGGCUCAACCGGGGAGGGUCAUUGGAAACUGGGAAACUUGAGUGCAGAAGAGGAGAGCGGAAUUCCAUGUGUAGCGGUGAAAUGCGUAGAUAUAUGGAGGAACACCAGUGGCGAAGGCGGCUCUCUGGUCUGUAACUGACGCUGAGGCUCGAAAGCGUGGGGAGCAAACAGGAUUAGAUACCCCCGUAGUCCCUGUCUCUUAUAC
rnacentral:rRNA from 1 species